UCGUGCGUCGGUCAGGCAGGGCGGCGCCUUACAGCGGCACCGCGGCCUGCAUCAUUUCGUUGGCGAAGUGCAGAAUCGCCGCGCACGAC
rnacentral:tRNA from 1 species